rnacentral:rRNA from 1 species
AGCUCUAAUAGCGUACAUUAAAGUUGUUGCAGUUAAAAAGCUCGUAGCUGGAUUUCUGGCUGGGUAUGUGGGUCCGCUCUUAUGAGUGUGCACUAUACAUGUCUAGCCAACAUAUGGGAGAACCACAGACGCAUUAUGUUGUUGUUGUAGGGAUCCCAAUCCUUUACUGUGAAAAAUUAGAGUGUUCAAAGCAGGCUUACAUUGUUGAAUAUAUUAGUAUUGAAUAAUAACAUAGGACUAUAGUACUAUUUUGUUGGUUUGCUCACAAUAGUAAUGAUUAACAGGGACAGUUGGGGGUAUUUGUAUUCCAUUGUAAGAGGUAAAAUUAUUGGAUUGUUAGAAGACAAACUACUGCGAAAGCAUUUAGCAAAGAUGUUUUCA